AAGCCCCACCCCACCCACGUAGGCGCUUUCCCACCCUGGCCAGUCUGGCUGUAACGGUGCUCAGGCAGCCUGGAGCUAGCCUGUCCCCCAGGCCUGUGCCCUGCUCCCCGUCCUGCUGCCUGCCCCAGCCCAGGCCGAGCACCAGCCCCCUCUGGCACUGCCUCUCCCCUCUCCGGUGCCUGGGCAGCUGUCUGGCCCUUGUGCGGUCUCUGCUCUCCUAGGUCUGGCUGGAGUGGCAGAGGUGGGAGCCCAACCCCAGGGGGGGCUUGGCCUUGGCCUUGGUGACACCAGCGUUUGGCUGCACCCCGGGGAACUGUCCGACUGCUGCAUGUGAGGCGCUCAGCCCUGCCGUGGAGUCCCCAGUAGCCUGCCCACUCCAGGGCCCAGCCCGUUACAGGUGCCUCGUCCCCUCGACACGGGAUGCUCUGCCAGGUCAGGCCUGCUCCGUGCAAUGCGCUGGCGUGGUCUCAGCCCCGCCACUGGCUGACACCGGCCCAGCGGUGGUUCUACAUGGGCUCCAGCCACCUGGCAGCCCCGAUCAAAGUCGUGUCUCCCUGACGCUGGGACGGCCGUGUUUAGCUGAGGUGAGGGGGAUUUAAACGGGAGGAGGACAGUGGGGUGAACCCAGAGCUGGGUUGAGCAGAGCCAGGAGCAGAUGCCCAGAGCCAGGCUGGUGGAUGGUGCCCCAUGCAGCCCCUGCCCUGCUGGCAUGUGGGCGCAGCGCACGCACCGAUGGCUCAGAGGCUGGGGGUCCGGCUGGGCCUGUCUGACCCUGCAGGAGGCUUGGAUGCAGGGCACCUCUGGGUGCAGUGGGGCUGUGGGGCAGCACAUAAGCCAUGCCAGGAGGUGGAGGCUGCAGUUCCCUGGGGCUGGGUGAAAGAAGGGCCCUGAACAGAGGCCCAAGGUCCAGGCAUGUUAUGCAGGGGAGGAGCGAGGCAGGGCAGCCAGCUCGGCUCGUGGGGUAUGGCUGUGCCAGGGGAGGGUUUGCACUCCUCCUGGCAGGGGUCACUGGGUGCAGCUGGAAAGAGGAGGGUGGGG
rnacentral:lncRNA from 1 species